rnacentral:tRNA from 1 species
CAGAGAGUAGUUUAAUAAAAACGUUAAUUUUGGGGAUUAGUAAUGAAGGUUUUCUUUCUCUCUGA